rnacentral:rRNA from 1 species
CCUACGGGGGGCAGCAGUGGGGAAUAUUGCACAAUGGGGGGAACCCUGAUGCAGCGACGCCGCGUGAGUGAAGAAGUAUUUCGGUAUGUAAAGCUCUAUCAGCAGGGAAGAAAAUGACGGUACCUGUCUAAGAAGCCCCGGCUAACUACGUGCCAGCAGCCGCGGUAAUACGUAGGGGGCAAGCGUUAUCCGGAUUUACUGGGUGUAAAGGGAGCGCAGACGGCUGUGCAAGUCUGGAGUGAAAGGGGGGGGCCCAACCCCCGGACUGCUCUGGAAACUGUAAAGCUGGAGUGCAGGAGAGGUAAGCGGAAUACCUAGUGUAGCGGUGAAAUGCGUAGAUAUUAGGAGGAACACCAGUGGCGAAGGCGGCUUACUGGACUGCAACUGACGUUGAGGCUCGAAAGCGUGGGGAGCAAACAGGAUUAGAUACCCGAGUAGUC